UCAGGAAUGUAGCUUAGUUGUAGAGCACUUGCCUGGUGUGUGGGAGGCCCUGGAUUCAAUUCCCAGUACCUCAA
rnacentral:tRNA from 1 species